AUGGCGCUGCAAAGAUGGGUGACAAGAAGAAAAAGGGCCGUUCUGCCAUCAAUGAGGUGGUGACUGAAGAAUACAUCAUCGACAUUCACAAGUGCAUCCAUGGAGGGGCUUCAAGAAGCGUGUCUCUCAGGCACUCAGAGAGAUCCAGAAAUUUGCCACGAAGGAGAUGGCAAUUCCAGAUAUGCACACUGAUGCCAGUCUUAACAAAGCUGUCCGAGCCAAAGGAAUAAGGAAUAUCCAUACUGUAUCUGUGUGUGGUUGUCCAGAAAACAUAAUGAGGAUAAAGAUUCACCAAAUAAGCUCUAUACUUUGGUUACCUAUGUACCUGUUACCACUUUCAAAAAUCUACAGUCAAUGUGGAUGAGAACUAA
rnacentral:lncRNA from 1 species